GUCGAACGAAGCAUAUAAAAGGAAUUUUUUCGGAGAGGAAUUUUAUCUUACUGAGUGGCGGACGGGUGAGUAACGCGUGGGCAACCUACCCCACACAGGGGGACAACAGUUGGAAACGACUGCUAAUACCGCAUAGGCGCACAGCUUCGCAUGAAGCAGUGUGGAAGACCGAGGUGGUGUGGGAUGGGCCCGCGUCUGAUUAGCUGGUUGGCGGGGUAACGGCCCACCAAGGCGACGAUCAGUAGCCGGCCUGAGAGGGUGGACGGCCACAUUGGGACUGAGACACGGCCCAAACUCCUACGGGAGGCAGCAGUGGGGAAUAUUGCACAAUGGGGGAAACCCUGAUGCAGCGACGCCGCGUGAGCGAAGAAGUAUUUCGGUAUGUAAAGCUCUAUCAGCAGGGAAGAAAAUGACGGUACCUGACUAAGAAGCCCCGGCUAAAUACGUGCCAGCAGCCGCGGUAAUACGUAUGGGGCAAGCGUUAUCCGGAUUUACUGGGUGUAAAGGGAGCGCAGGCGGCUUGGCAAGUCUGAUGUGAAAGGCUGGGGCUCAACCCCAGGACUGCAUUGGAAACUGUUAGGCUAGAGUGUCGGAGAGGUAAGCGGAAUUCCUAG
rnacentral:rRNA from 1 species